rnacentral:sRNA from 1 species
UGAUGCCGGACUGUGUACUGCAAAUGAACGUAAAAGCUAGAAACAUCGACCUUUUCUUUCUUCACGCUCUUUUUUCAGUUAUUUGCCGGGCCUACAUUGGAUACAUAGAGGGCUCCACUUUACCCAA